rnacentral:rRNA from 1 species
UGGGGAAUCUUGCACAAUGGGCGAAAGCCUGAUGCAGCGACGCCGCGUGAGCGAUGAAGGCCUUCGGGUUGUAAAGCUCUGUGGGGAGGGACGAAUACGCGUUGGCUAAUAUCCAACGUGAUGACGGUACCUCCUUAGCAAGCACCGGCUAACUCUGUGCCAGCAGCCGCGGUAAGACAGAGGGUGCAAACGUUGUUCGGAAUUACUGGGCGUAAAGCGCGUGUAGGCGGCUAUAUAAGUCGGACGUGAAAUCCCACGGCUCAACCGUGGAAGUGCGCUCGAAACUGUGUAGCUUGAGUCCUGGAGAGGAAGACGGAAUACUUGGUGUAGAGGUGAAAUUCGUAGAUAUCAGGUAGAACACCAGUGGCGAAGGCGGUCUUCUGGACAGUGACUGACGCUG